GAAAAUCCCAGUUGGCUGGGCAACAAAAUUCACACACUUAAAACAAAAAUGAUUGUUUUUUUCUGCUUUUAUUUAUAUUUUGGCGCUGCUUGUUUGGUUUAUAUGGUUGAAGCCCGUUCGUGGGAUGCAUAAGUUGUCUAAUUGUCACGAACCUUCUGCACACACGCUGUCGAAGAGGGCGGAACUAAAUGAAGGUAAUCUUAGGAAAACCGCUUGGGAUGAAUCCAAGUCAAGGCCAAAAUCUCUUCAAGUGCGAGUCAUCAGCGGGCGGUGGGGCAAACCACAUCAAAAUCAAGUCAAAACCUAGGUAAACACACUUGUUAGCUUAUCAUGUUACCCAUGUUAAGCGCAUUAAUGGCAGCGAAGACGAUGACAACGGUGACAGCAACAACAGUGGAGGGCGUCAGCCAGGCAAACAAACAAACAGACGAGCAAACAUGGAGGACACAAAGCGUGCAGGAGGAAGUAAAAUAUUAAUAGCCAGCUACUAAAAUAGCAGGCGCCCAAAUCCAGCACAAAGAAUCGCAAUCGGGGCCAAGGAACCAACGAGUUUUGAGGUCUCCGAAAGGGGCAGUACGGCGGGUGGUUGGCUGAAGAGGGUGCUUAAGCCACUUGCAAAGUCCUGGCUCAGACAGAACUUCGUAUCCAGCCAACCAUGAUGCCAUCGCCCGCCCUCCCCGUUCCCCAGAACUUUGGCCUAACCUCAGAACUGUGUGCGGAUGGCUGUUAAUGUGUCAUCUCGGUGGAGCCGCUUCUAUGCCUGGGAUAUGGAGGUUUAUGUCUCGUUAUUUAUGCAGGAGUAGUUUGUUUCGCAACUAAGUGAUAUGUCUCAAAGAUGUGUAUUAGCGAACUCGAACUCCACUCAUUUUAAGUAAGCAUCAUAACUUACUUUAAUUAAAUUAAAAUAAUAUAAACGCUACUUCCCCCAACCCUUU